CUACGUGUCAACUUGUUUACAGAUCAAAUCAACAUGAACAAACAACUUAUCUUGCUGCUUGCGUUCUGCCUUAUUCAAUCGGGCUCUGCUACUUGGCCGCAACCAACACCUGAGCCUCCAAGCAUUUGGCUUAUAACUGGAAGAAGACGUCGCCGAUGGAAUCAAGAACCCAUAAGCAGCUCUAUCGAAGAGGAAGACGCACUCAUGAAUGAUCUCCUUAACGAGUCAUCGUAGAUCUCACACCGAAUCCAAAGAUCGACAGACUGUGUGUGGUCUUAAUAUUGGAAACAGACAAAAAUAAACCAUAGUUUAAAAUAA